rnacentral:rRNA from 1 species
UGGGGAAUAUUGCACAAUGGGGGAAACCCUGAUGCAGCGACGCCGCGUGAGUGAAGAAGUAUUUCGGUAUGUAAAGCUCUAUCAGCAGGGAAGAUAAUGACGGUACCUGACUAAGAAGCCCCGGCUAACUACGUGCCAGCAGCCGCGGUAAUACGUAGGGGGCAAGCGUUAUCCGGAUUUACUGGGUGUAAAGGGAGCGUAGGUGGCAAGGCAAGUCAGAUGUGAAAGCCCGGGGCUCAACCCCGGUAUUGCAUUUGAAACUGUCUAGCUAGAGUGCAGGAGAGGUAAGUGGAAUUCCUAGUGUAGCGGUGAAAUGCGUAGAUAUUAGGAGGAACACCAGUGGCGAAGGCGGCUUACUGGACUGUAACUGACACUGAGGCUCGAAAGCGUGGGGAGCAAACAGG